UCGUAGUACGACUCAACGACUAGUUAGACGGCCUUUAUUUUCUAAUGAUCAAGGAGAGAGAUGAAUCUAGUAGCGACAUAACCUGGUCGUACAUUUACAAUAAUUAAGUAGUUAAACAACAAUUGAAUAAAACAAUCGCUUCAAACAUGGCAAAACGUGCCUAUCCUUAUGACGAAGAUUUACUACCGCAGAUAAAAGUACAUAUAGGACAAAAACAAGUGGAUAAUGGUGUGUCCAAGGAUGAGCGGAUGAAGAAAGUUUAUGAUAAAACUUUGAGUCUGCUUAAGGCAGGUUCAAAAGCACUGUCACACAAAUUGAACAAAUCUGCACAAAUAGAUCCUAUAGACUUACCUUCAACUCGACUACCAGUUUCUUGUAAAUUAAAAUCUGCAUCCAAUCUGAAACAGAUGCUGUUGACUAACAACUUACAACUGAAGGUCAGCGAUAAGAUCAUUAAUGAUGUACGAGUAGAUCUAUGUGGAUGCUGUAGAGUGAUAGACCAACUCACAAUAAAUAGAUGUUAUUAUUGUGAUCAAAUAUUAUGUAAUUCUUGUCUAUCUGCAUGUGCUAAAUGCUCAGAAGUGUUUUGUCAAAAUUGUUCUCUAUCCAUAUUUCUAUUGGCAAUACUGGCGCGUUAUUACGGAAGUGCCGAUAGUAUUCGAAUAAUUUCCUUGGCAAUACGUCGCUUCGAUCAAUCACGUCCGUUAGUGAUCUUCCGGCAUUUAUCAAAGAACGUGGAAGAAUCACACUUCAGACGUUUCAAGAGUGUCAUUUGUCAUCUAACUACAGUGCAACCACAUACAAUUGCGUACGAUAGAAAAGCGCCGUGUCAAUCUCAAUGGAAAACAUAAGAAAGUUAAAUCUUUUUCCUGGAAAAGAGAUGUCUUUGCAUUGUACACAGCAAACUGAUCUUCCACAGAUAAAAAUUGGACAAGUGGAUGAAACUGGAAUGAACGAGACUAUGGUAAAAUUAGAAACAACUGCAUAUAAUCCAAUAGUGAAAACAGAUACCAAUGUUAAUAUAUAUUUGGAUCGCAAG